AUAUUUGUGCAGUGUUGGAAUUAAGUAUAAAUCUUUGCCCCAAUGUCACACACAGACAACACGAAUUUUCAUAAAUACGAAAGAAAUUUUAAAUUCCUAUGACUUUAGUUCUUCUUUCACAACAUAAGCCAGCCAGAUUAAAUAUUACUGCUACUUUGACAUCAAACAUGUAAUGCCAUAAAUCGUGAGUAAAUGCGCGUCUUUUGGGAAAUAUUCGUGACUGACUUGUGUGGGUUUUUUUUUCUAUCGUUCAACUAAGGCUCGAACUUGUACUACUGGACUGCUGGCAGACGAUUUUUUUCUCCCCCAGUUAACUACUAAAACGAGGCAUGAUACUACAAAGCUUCCGGUUUAGUCACAUUCUUUGUUUAGGCUCGCCGAGACUAACAGCGGAGAACUUCGCAAGAUAUUAAGCUUUGGUUUUGGCAGACAAACAGCAAUCCACCUAUACACAUCCAUGAAUGGCCAGAGGUUCAGCAGCGUCGGAGAAAAAAAAAGAAGAAGGUAAUCCGCCUAAUGGACCCGGAGCAAGUCGACCUGCUCGUGGGGCCGACCAGCUGUCGUUGGGGACAGUCUUGUGCACCCACGAACUUGGAUCAAAUAUAUCCUCUUAAAUUACCUGCUCAGAGGUCUCUGUGACGGUCCAUUCUUUCGUGGUCGCGGCCAUAACUUAUCAGGAGUUUGAUCUGAGCCAUUCCGAAAAGCUGAGACAGGUAUACAGAUGGCAGUCACCAUUUAGAAGAUGAAUAGUGAUAUUGUCACUUUCCAUAUCACUGAUGCUUAUAUCAUGGUCACUCACCAUGGUGAUUCCUUUAUU